rnacentral:rRNA from 1 species
CGUGCAGGUGGUUCGGAAAGUCGGGUGUGAAAUCCCCGGGCUCAACCCGGGAACUGCAUCCGAAACUCUCGAGCUAGAGUCCCGGAGAGGAAGGCAGAAUUCCCAAUGUAGGGGUGAAAUCCGUAGAUAUUGGGAGGAAUACCAGUUGCGAAGGCGGCCUUCUGGACGGUGACUGACACUCAGACGCGAAAGCGUGGGGAGCAAACA